ensembl:lincRNA
UGAAUUGCAAAUUAACAAACAGAAAGAAAAACUCAAGUUGCAAAAAGAUAGUCACAGAGACAGCAGUAACACCUUCUGGCUACAGUCUAUUUUCGUCUUUCUCAUCCUAGUGUUAUCAAGAGAAAAACAGUCUUAGAUGCAGCAUAAAAAUUUCAGAGACAGAAGAGAUUUUCCUUUGAGGGCAGUCAGACUUAUAAAGGAGGCUGCUGGCAGGAAUUCACUCUCUUUUCGCUGUUCUGCCUUCCACUGCAUGAGGACACAGCAAGAAAGCCCUCAUCAGACACCAACUGCCAACACCUAGAUCUUGGAAUUCCCAGUCUCCAAAACUGUGAGAAAUACGUUUCUAUUUUUCUAUAAAUGAAAAAAAAAAAAAUUCCAUGCACGAAAAAAAAUCAAGUUUGAGGGUCCUGCAGUGAGGGCAUCCCAGCUUUGUUUGAGAAGCAGCAAGCAUGCCUGUGUGACUGUGAUGAAAGAAUAAAAGAGAUAUUCACACAGAAGAAUGUAAUGUAGGCCUUUUCACUUUAAGCCAGAAAUUUGGCUUCAACUCUAAAUGUGAUAGGAAGAAAAUAGAAGGUUCCAAACUGAGAAGUUACAUAAUAUGAUAUGUUUUAACAUAAUCACCUUUGUUACCAUAUGGCAAAUAAAAUGAAAGUGCUUCAAGGGCAGAAAUAGGAAGGCAAGUUAUGAGGUUAUUUCAAUAAUCCAGAGGAGCUAGGAUGGUGACAAAGCAGUAUGGUAGCAAUCGAUUGGGUGACAAUGUGGAAUCCUGGGUAUAUAUUAAAGGUUCAGUAAAAAAGGAUUUAUAGAUGAAACAGAUACAGGUAGUGAGAAAGAGUCAAGUUAAAGAUUAUUUCAGUAUUUUUGAUCUGAACAACCUAGAAGUGUUGUGGUAAAUCCUACCCCAUCAAUAUACAUCAGCAAUAACUGAGUGGGG